CAUCUUCUGUUUACUGCUGGCAUCCACGAAACAGUAACAGGCCCCAGACUCUUCACAGAUCCUGAAACCACUCACCUGCCUAAGACUGACAACGUUGGCACAAUUUCGACCUCCCUGUGCCUUUCUUCCCGGGGAAGGAAGCUGAGAGGGGAUGAAUCAAGUAACAUAAUAAACUUCUGAGAAGGCAGAGCAAUAUGUUUGGGUCUCCAUCUUUCUUUCAGAAAAGAAGCUUCAUAUCAAGAUUUGGAAAGAAGGGCAAAUCUCUUAGUGAAGAAACUGCCAAGAAAAUUACUGCUCACCUAGCUCAAAGAGAAACAUUAAUUAAAGGUAAGACAUGGGCAAGAAGUAAAAUGGAGCUUGUAUGAGUUAAUUCUAUCAUAAUUAACAUUUAUAAUUCCUCUCAAUUUCAGAGGAUGACUCUGUUUUUGCAGAAACCCUUGAAUUAUUUAACGUAUUUCUAAAGAAAACUUUUGAAAUCCCUGGAGAUGACUUUUUUACCUUUCUAUAAAGACUCUUUCCACCCCCAUUCAGAGUCUCUGUACAAGUUUAUAUGAUAGAACUUAUACUAUCUAUGGUCUAAGAAAAUGGGAAUGGAUUUAGGUAAACAUGAGAUUAUUCUACUUAUUUAUAAUGACAUCAGUGGGCAGGGGGGAUGGUCUCUGUUAUGGAAAAAUAUUCUAUAUGUGUGAUUAU
rnacentral:lncRNA from 1 species